CUCUGACGGCUGAUUUGGGCACCUUCGUGUUGCUCCACCAGGCGGAGGUCAAUGGGAUAGGCUGAGUGUUUUUGCGCGCUUGUUCCGCUCAAGAAGCAUUCUUUGUGUAACCAUGUGAUGCGUUGGGAAAAGAAAAAUCUUUAUGAGCAAAUUUCCACAUACCUUUCCCCUUCCAUAGACUGGCAACACUGUAGUCACAGCAGAAAAGUCCAGCAUAGAUCAACGUGUUAUCACUGAAGAUGACGUGGAACACCUCUGUGGUUGUGAGGGAAAUAUGGUAUCCACAUAGGGUCGAGCCCAGGGUGAUUAUCGAUUACUGAAAGAAUGAGGCCAUUAGCAUCUGGAAAGAACAAGAUCAGAUUCUCUUAUCAUGAUCUACUGUCAUCGAGUUACUCACUAAUCCAGGGAAAAACAAACUGUCGUUGCUUUUUAGUUGAACAUUACUUACAAUUAAUUGUUCUACAGCCAGAUAUACAAUUGUAGGCUCCCAAGGGCCACUCACAGUAUGAUAGGCAAAUAAAUAUUGCUAUGUAUGAAGGAACUGGAUCAAAUGCUCUCUAGUUCUAGUUGUGUUAAGUUUGUAUUUGUUUUAGCCAUCUUUAUAUCACAAACAGGAACAAGCCUAAUGAACUGAAUAGUGGGAUCACUUCAAUGGAGUUUAAUCUAUCAUUUAUCCAAUAUAUACUCACGGAGUGCCUGUGAGUAGAAAGGCUCACUUUAAUGAAAUUCUAUUACAUAUUUGUUGAACAAAUAUGUACUGCAUUGUCUACCAAGUGCCAGGUAUAGUUUCAGGCACUAGGGAUUUGGCCUUGUAUCAGACAAGGUUUCUGCCUUCAAACAAUAUUUCUGUGAACAGCAAAUAAUGCCACUUAGGAGGUAAAGACCAGGAAAGUCUGAUUAGCUGAGAAAAUGUAACUAUACCUUUGGCAUUAUGGCAAGCUGGAAAUGUUUUGUCUUUGUAGGAGAUCAUAAUAAGGUUGUUAAUGUAUGGAUAUAGACUGUGAAUCAAAGUACAUGCGGCAUUUAAAAGGAUUUUUAUAGAAAGUGAUCUCUUUUUAAUUUAAAUGGAGCAAACACAAGAGAGACUACAUUACAUUCUUCUGCCUGAUUCCUACCGGCAGAACUAGGAGCUGUAGAAACUACAGGCACACUGAGCAAUCAGUGUUCUCCUCAGGAGGUGCAACUGAGUACUCCUGAACACCCCACGAUGCACAGCCCUGAAUGCACGGCAAGGACAGUUAUCACACAGAGCUGUCGGCUGUGUUACCUGUGGGAAUUUGACAAUGAGGUGGUGUGGAAUGUUCAUCACAUUGUGCACAUAAUCAAAAGUCUUCGUGAGUUUCCUUUUAUUUGCAGUUAGCAUUUUUGGGAUUCUGGUGAUCAUAUGCUGAAUUUCAUUAUGUUU